rnacentral:rRNA from 1 species
AAACCAACUGGGAUUACCUUAGUAAACGGCGAGUGAAGCGGUAAAAGCUCAAAUUUGAAAUCUGGUACUUUCAGUGCCCGAGUUGUAAUUUGUAGAAUUUGUCUUUGAUUAGGUCCUUGUCUAUGUUCCUUGGAACAGGACGUCAUAGAGGGUGAGAAUCCCGUUUGGCGAGGAUACCUUUUCUCUGUAAGACUUUUUCGAAGAGUCGAGUUGUUUGGGAAUGCAGCUCAAAGUGGGUGGUAAAUUCCAUCUAAAGCUAAAUAUUGGCGAGAGACCGAUAGCGAACAAGUACAGUGAUGGAAAGAUGAAAAGAACUUUGAAAAGAGAGUGAAAAAGUACGUGAAAUUGUUGAAAGGGAAGGGCAUUUGAUCAGACAUGGUGUUUUUUAAAUGUGCAAGUCUCUCGUGGACAUGUGCCUCUGGGAAAUUAACACUGGGCCAACAUCAGUUCUGGCGGCAGGAUAAAUCAUUAAGAAUGUAGCUACCUCGGUAGUGUUAUAGCUUUUUGGAAUACUGCC